GGUAUCUAUCAACCUAUCAAGGAAAACAUCUUUCUCUAGGAAAUUUGGUAUACGGAAACCAUGAACUCAAACAAAACUUUUCUUGUGGUUCUCUGCCUCAUCGUUGUCUCAUGUGUUCCAAUUUCAGAGGCAGUGUCGUGCACCAAGAAUGAAGAUUGCCAAUUCAUAAAAUGUCCGACCCUCAAGAUCUGUUUCUUCGGUGCAUGUAUCUGCCUCCCGUAUUCCGAAAAAGACGCUUUUACCCUCCACGGCACCCAGCUGUCUCAAUGCGUUGUGUCCUGUAAGAGUAAGGGUAAAUCUGUCAUUUCAGUCUCCGAUGAUAAGUGCCAGUGCGGUUGAUUCGCCAUGUACCUGUUUUUGAAGCUGUCAAUAAAACUCGUUGAAUGUAGUUAUAGAUCGCCUUCCCCUUUUUUUU